rfam:Citrus clementina cultivar Clemenules unplaced genomic scaffold scaffold_4, whole genome shotgun sequence.
GAUCGCGGUGAUGACUCAGUAAAAUUCAAGCUCAACAGACCGGAAUGCAGGCUUCUCUUUUCGAGAACUUUGCGUGUCGACAACCCCGCUGAACUGAGCGAUC